UACAUAGGGUGCAAGCGUUGUCCGGAAUUAUUGGGCGUAAAGAGCUCGUAGGUGGUUAGAUACGUCGGAUGUGAAAAUCAGGGGCUCAACCCCUGACCUGCAUUCGAUACGGUCUAGCUAGAGUGUGGUAGGGGAGACUGGAAUUCCUGGUGUAGCGGUGGAAUGCGCAGAUAUCAGGAGGAACACCGAUGGCGAAGGCAGGUCUCUGGGCCAUUACUGACACUGAGGAGCGAAAGCGUGGGGAGCGAACAGGAUUAGAUACCCCGGUAGUCC
rnacentral:rRNA from 1 species